UACGGGGGGAGCAAGCGUUGUUCGGAUUUACUGGGCGUAAAGGGCGCGUAGGCGGCCAGCACAAGUCAGUUGUGAAAUCUCCGAGCUUAACUCGGAAAGGUCAACUGAUACUGUGCGGCUAGAGUGCAGAAGGGGCAACCGGAAUUCUUGGUGUAGCGGUGAAAUGCGUAGAUAUCAAGAGGAACACCUGCGGCGAAGGCGGGUUGCUGGGCGAUUUCUGACGCUGAGGCGCGAAAGCGUGGGGAGCAAACAGG
rnacentral:rRNA from 1 species